rnacentral:lncRNA from 1 species
GAAAAGUUAAGUCAUUUUCGACUUUAUUGGCAUGAUAUUCUUAGUGGGUCUAAUCCAACCUCAAUUCCAGUAGUUAAACCGGUGAAUAACUCAUCAACAUUCUUUGGUUCAAUAAAUAUGAUCGAUAAUCCAUUAACCAUUGAGCCAAAAUUAAACUCAAAAAUGGUUGGAAAGGCCCAAGGGUUUUAUGCGUCUGCGGGACAAGAAAAUUUUGGAUUGUUGAUGGUUAUGAAUUUUGCAUUCAACGAUGACAAGUAUAAUGGUAGCACAUUUACUGUGAUAGGACGAAAUGAUGUUUUUUCUAAGGUGAGGGAAAUGGAGAUAGUUGGUGGCAGUGGGCUUUUCCGAUUUGCUACAGGUUAUGUUCAAGCAAAAACUUACAUGUUCGGUACCAAUGGAGAUGCCAUUGUCGAAUACAAUGCCUAUGUUUUACAUUAUUGAUAUUUUUCCUUUUUUUAACUUUUCAGUCGAGCUUUGUUCCACAGUGAUAGACUUGAAUUGUUGUGUGUUCCCACUGUAGCUAAGUGGGGUUCUCUAGUUUUGCUUAAUUUAAUUAAAUUAAGUUACUCUUACUUUACCUAAUUUAUUGUAAGCAUGCAAUAAUAAAAUAAAAUUUAAGUAUCACGUAUAGUUUGAUUUAGAAUUUAUUUGUUUAUUUAAAUUUUUUAGAGAAGUUACAAAAAUAGAAAAAAAAAAACACAUGUAAUUCAAAGAAAAUCAUAUUUGAAAAUUCUCGAUGAUAGUGAUAGAUCGUGUAGAGAGAAGAAAAAUAAGACCAUAUUCAAUUUUAUUUGUUUCUUAUGAUUUUCUUAAUUUUCUUAUGUUCCUCUAUUGUUUAAAAAACUAGUGAAAAUGAUUCUUUAUUUCACUUUGUUUUUUUAAAAAUGAAAAUAGAGAACAACAACUGAAUAAGGUUAUGAAUUUUUUAAAAACAAAUAUUUGUUUUUAAAAUAGAAAACUAUUUUUUAAAUCACAUGGUCAAACAUGUUAUAAUAGUUUAAAAUUUUGUUUUAAAAAAAUGGAAGUAUAUAUAUGAAAAAAAAAAAAUUACAGCUUGAAAGUGAUUUUUAAAGAUUAAGUACAGCAAAACAACAUUUUAUAUGGAAUUUAUUAGUAUUUUUAUUUUUAAAAUAAAAAAAUAGAAAUUCAAAUUUUUGUUUUUAAAAGUUUUAAAAUAGAAAACAAAAUUAUACCCAAAUAACACCUUUUAAGUUUGUAAUUUACUAAAAGUUCAUCAGUCAAGAUUCCUAAAACUCUAUUACGUCAUAGUCCCACACAACUCAAGAAAGGUUAUAUCCAUAUAUUCAAGAUGACCUCCUAAAUCUUGAUCUAUAUGCAUGGAGGUAUAAAUUUUUUAUAAAUAAUUUUUUAUUUUUAAAAACAAAAACCUAUUUUUAAAUCACACAAUCAAACAGAUUGGAAGCCUUCAAUCCUUAAUAUCUUUUAACUUAAAAUCUUACCAUUAGAUAACAUUGCUUUAGAAUUUAUAAAUCAUGUAUUAUAAGUAAACUAAAAUCAUAUUAUUGUUGAUAGUAAUGAGAUACACUUUAUAUCUUAUUUGAUAAAGGUUAAGAAACCAUAUACAAAUUAUUAAUUAAUUAAUAAUUUAUUAAUGUAACCUUAUCAUUAUACAAAUAAAAUAUUUCUAUUAUUUCCAUUUUCAAAAUUUAAAACUCAAAGAAGUCAAAAGAAAAUUUCUUAAUUUUUCAACUAAUAAAAUCCCUUUUAUAAAAAAAAGAAAAAAAGAAAAAGAAAGUCAACAAAUCUUGAAAUUUCAAAAUUUUAAGAUAUUAAUGUACCAGUUAUUAAGUAGAUCGAGUAUAUUUAGUAGUGAUUCUAUUUGAAGUACUUUAGUAAAAGUGUUUUUUCUAAAAAUGUUUUUAGAAGAAUCGUCCAUUAAUUUCUUUUUUAAGAAACAUUAUAAAUAAUUUGUCAAUUUUUUAAAAAUAUUUUCUAAUUUUAAAUGCCAAAAUAUUUUAAAAUAUAGGGAAAAAUAUAUUUCCAUAUACCUAUAUGAAAAAAACCACAAAAUAAAAAUUUAAGUUUAUAAAAUAUAAAUUUCAAGCACUUAUAUAAAAAUAAUUAGUAUUUCACAUAUUUUCUUUAUCAAAUAUAUUACAUUUGAUCACGUAGAAUAUACCUUUUAAUGAUAUGAGUGUAUUAAAUUUGAAUUAUUUUUAUUUUGUUUUUAUUUUAUAAUUAUUUUUAUAUUAGCUUGUGAAAACCUUUUUUUUUUGUAAGUUAGAAGGAGUUUCUCUCCAUCGAAACACGCAGUGUCUUUUUCCCUUUUCUUGUAAACCCUAGAAAACUCUAAACCCUAAAUUCGGUGCUCAGAAAGACUUGGGCAUGGAAGAAGAGAAUGAAAGUAAAGUCAAUUCCUUUAUUUUUAAAUCCUCAGUUCACUUUUGCUUCCAUUGGGUGGGUGGGUGGGAUACCUGGAAAUUGUAUCAGACCUACCGUCACUCACAAGUCUGAAUUAAAAUGACAAUUUUAUCCAAUAGAAUGGGUUUUGGGGCGACUUUGAUUGCGGGAGGCCUCAUUUUCUAGAAAAGGUUGGCCCAACCACACCAUCCUCUUUCCAUGUUUUUUCUCAACAAACGCGUGCCCAAGUCAAUAAGACUUGCAAAUCACCCAAAACCACCAUAUGCCCAAGGCACCAAACCCCAUAAGAUGGAGGGGCAUUUUUGUCAUUCUCGUUAGAAAUAUUCCCGUUGUGAUGGGUCGGUGCGAUUGGCAAUUAUAACAUCUUUGAAUUUGGAAAAGUGGGCUUUAAUUGUGUGGAAAAUGAACAAUUCAAUAAUUUAUAUAUAUAUCCUAGGUUUUGUGAGCAAAGGGUGUGCAUUGUGGCCAUGGCUAGAGCUCUCCUCAUCUCACCUCCCUACUUCAUCUUCCUUAUCUUUCUCAUUUUCUCUUAUGCCACAAUCCCAACUUUUGGAGAAGAAUAUAGCUAUGUCAAGCGUGUCAAUCCUAAGAAAAUGAAGAUAUUGAAGGAAAAGUUAAGUCAUUUUCGACUUUACUGGCACGACAUUGUUAGCGGGUCUAAUCCAACCUCAAUUCAAGUGGUUAAACCAGUGAAUAACUCGUCAACAUUCUUUGGUUCAAUAAAUAUGAUUGAUAAUCCGUUAACCAUUGGACCAAAGUUGAGCUCAAAACUGGUUGGAAAGGCUCAAGGGUUUUAUUCAUCUGCAGGACAAGAAGAAUUUGGAUUAUUGAUGGUUAUGAAUUUUGUAUUCAUCGAUGGCAAGUAUAAUGGUAGCACAUUCACUGUGUUAGGACGAAAC